UACGAAGGGGGCUAGCGUUGCUCGGAAUGACUGGGCGUAAAGGGCGCGUAGGCGGAUUGUAAAGUCAGGCGUGAAAUUCCCGGGCUCAACCUGGGGGCUGCGCUUGAGACGUGCGAUCUUGAGUGGGGAAGAGGGUCGUGGAAUUCCCAGUGUAGAGGUGAAAUUCGUAGAUAUUGGGAAGAACACCGGUGGCGAAGGCGGCGACCUGGGCCUUGACUGACGCUGAGGCGCGAAAGCGUGGGGAGCAAACAGG
rnacentral:rRNA from 1 species